rnacentral:lncRNA from 1 species
GAUAGUGUCAAAUUGUGCUACUUUCUUUGAGAAAAGUCACAUGAAUGACCUCAAACUUCAAAGAAAAAAAGUACUCAAGGAACUUUUGGGAAAUACACAAAACCCUACGGUAACGGUUCCAAAACCAAUUCAUAAUGGUAAACCUGCAAACGAGUAGCAACAUAGGGUGCUUUGUCAGUUGAAAGGCCUCUCACAAAACCGAAGUUUUUCCAAUUUUGCAGAAGUGUUUUAAAUACUGAGUCUGCCAAACAGGAGAUGAUGACCCACUCACAUAUGACGAAGUAAAAUGCUAAUAACACCCCUUAACUUGACUCGCUAGUCAAAUUGAGGUAUCAGGAUGCCACAUUAAUCUUCUAACAAAUAGAUAUAUUUUAAAUCAAAUAAAUGACAUACUCACACCAGUAAAACAAAAUUUUGAUUAAUUAAUAUCAUUAAAUAAUUACACUUAUACCUGGAUUAUAAAAUUUCUGUCAAACACUUAUACAAUAUUUUCUAUGAAAAUGAGGUCAAGGUAUCGGUACCUUACCACUGGUAUCAGUACCUUGGCUCAAAGUAUUGAUACCCCUGUUGUCGUACCAAUACCAAAUUUAGCUUCAAAGUUUCAGAAAAAUUGGGUAAAAAAUCAAAGUAUUGAUACUCUUCUCAUGGUAUCGAUAUUCAGCCCUUGGUAUCGAUACCAAAACCAGGUUCGAUGUUUCAAAAAUUUGAGAAAAAUUACUCAAGUAUCGAUACUUUUCCCAUGGUAUCUGUAAUGACCCAAAUGUAACGCCCUAAAAUUUUGAGAAUUUAAUUCUGAGACUCUGCAGUAAUUAAAUCUCUGUAUUUGUCGUUCUGUGUUCCGCUAUUAUGUUUAAGGUCUAGAGUUUGAGUCGCAUCGUUAAAAUUUUUGUUAUUUUAAAAGCAACCCUUAAUCAUGCAUUAUAUAGUUAAGUUCAAUUCAGUGUAAAAUUAAGUCAAGAAUGAGCUUGCUGGUUUAUUGGUUAAGCAUAUAUAUUCAGUUAGGUCCUCUAUCUGAAUCCCAGAGUAUACGAUAGGGAAAUAUUUUUGCUAAACGCUGGAAGGUUGGUUGGUGGUUAACUUAAACCAUUCUAAAAUUAAUUAUAUGGUCCUUUUCUUUUUAUUUUUUUUCUUUUCUUUCUAGUUCUUUGUUCUUCUUCUUUCUUUUAUCUUUUUGCUUGGUUUUAUACUUGAUUCUACAUUAAUUGGGAUUUCUUUCGUUGCUUGUUACAUCGAUUGUGUGAUUAUUGUGUAAGUUCCAUUGUUAUCUCCAUUCGUUUCUGCGAGUUUCGCCUUGUUAAUGUUUAUUCUGUCGAGAUAGAAUUUUGCUCGCUUUACUUGAACGCUCUGUUUAAACACUCGAUUGGUUACUUUUUAGGCAAGAAUAUUACGAGAGACGCUUCUCUGCCGCGUUAGCCUGGUUUCCUCUAUUACGUGCAAGGUAAGUGUGUGAAAUUGAAUUGGGGUUGAGUCGAAACUUUCGACAUAAUUUUGACGAUAGGUUUAUCUUAACAAUAAAUUGAGAAUGAUGGUGUAAUUUAUUAUUGGAUGGUCGUGUUAGGUUCUGGAAUCCUCCUACAUUUGUGACUUAAGACCACACGGGCAAGCACACGGGCAUAUGUCUAGGCCGUGUAACUCACUGUUUAUGACUUAGGACAUACGGGCAAGCACACAGGAUUGUGCCCAGGCCGUGUGAGUCACACAGGCAAGGACACGGGCAUGUGUCUGGGCCGUGUAACUCUCUAUUUACGUUUUAGAACCACACGAGUAGAGGACAUGGGUGUGUGCCUAGGUCGUGUGUGCCACACGGGCAAGGACAUAAGCAUGUGUCCAGGCCGUAUAAGCCACACGGGAAAGGACAUGGGCGUGUGUUCAGGCUGUGUGGCAUAUAAAUAGGGUCUAAAUUCAGUUUUUGAGGCCGCGAGUGUUGCCCGACACUAAUACUGACCUCCCCAAUAUAUGAAUGAUCUGAAUUUGAUUAUACGAAGACUCACUGAUGCUCAGUGACUGACAUAUGAAUAACAUAACUGUAUCUGUACUGUGAUAGUUAUUCUGGUAUUGAAUUGUAUUAUCUAAUUGUGAAAUGAUUUAGAAUGACUAAACACAUAUUGUGGACAUUUCUACUCUGCAUUUGCAUGGGUUGGGAUAUUGUGAAGAAUGAAGUAAUCUACUCUGAAUUAGUGGCCAAGCCAAAAUGCGUAUAAAUCUGGAUCUGGCACUUUAUCGCAUUUCGAUCUAGUAGCUAAGCUGUGUCUCUGUUAACAUGUCAGACAGACACUCUGUGGUGUGUAGGGUUGGUUGCGCACUGAACACCCUUAACGGUGUGCUGGGAUGGCCGAAGGUGGUGUGUAGCGGAUGGGGGUAGGAAUAUUUGCAUCUGAAUCUGAUCUUUUUGUAUAUGAAACUGAAAUUGCUUCUGCAUAUGUAACUAAUUUGUUCUGAAUCUGAACUGAAAUUGCUUUUGUUACCAAACUGAAUCUUAGGAUUUAGGAAUCAUCUUCUAAAUGUGAUCUAAUUGAAUAAAUGUCUUUUGCACACUAAGUUCACAACUCAUUUUGUUAUUUAUUGGAUUUCAGGUGGUUCUCAGACUUGAACGGGUCGACGCCACAGGGAGCUCAGUCAAGC